GACGAACGCUGGCGGCGUGCUUAACACAUGCAAGUCGAACGGGUCUGCCCUGUUUUUUGCGGGGUGGGUCAGUGGCGAACGGGUGAGUAACACGUGAGUAACCUGCCCCUCACUUCUGGAUAACCGCUUGAAAGGGUGGCUAAUACGGGGUGUUCUGGCUGUGCCGCAUGGUGUGGCUGGGAAAGAUUCACUUUUGUGGUGUUUUGGUGGGGGAUGGGCUCGCGGCCUAUCAGCUUGUUGGUGGGGUGAUGGCCUGCCAAGGCUUUGACGGGUAGCCGGCCUGAGAGGGUGGGCGGUCACACUGGGACUGAGAUACGGCCCAGACUCCUGCGGGAGGCAGCAGUAGGGGGUAUUGCACAAUGGGCGGAAGCCUGAUGCAGCGACGUCGCGUGAGGGAUGGAGGCCUUCGGGUUGUGAACCUCUUUCGCCGGUGAAGAAGGUCCUGCUCUUUGUGGUGGGGUUGACGGUAGCCGGGUUAUGAAGCGCCGGCUAACUACGUG
rnacentral:rRNA from 1 species